CUGUCUCCUUAGAACUCAAGGAUACCGUGCUACGAGCCUAUACAACAGAUCCUGUUCAUGUAAGGUCGCGCCCGUCCAAGUUGCUGUGAUGUUAUAUAAAAGACUACCUUCCCUAACUAACCAAGUCGAUGACUAUAGCAACAAAAGCUGUGAUUUCGUAUUAGAUGCCUUUAUUUUUUAAGGUUAGUACACAAUUGAUUCACAUGAAUUAUAUUAUUUGAAAGAUUAUUAGUUUGGGUCAUGUAUUCUAAAGUUUCUUCUUAAGAGAUACAUAAGAGUGAUUGCCAUUGGAAGAGAGAGGCUCUUGAGAAAGUGGGCACAAAGCAAUUCAUUAGCCCAUAAUUUAGACCACCAGAGUAAUACUUGUUAGACCUUGAAUUGGGGUAGGGGCCGCGCCAUGAGACUAGAACGUGAUUAACCGGCCUCCAUGGCCUUUGGGUCAUGGUGUCAUAGAUGAUCGUUCUCGGCUUGGUUUGCUGGGCUUGAGCUACUGCGACAAAUAGGUACAGUGCUAUGGAAGUCACCAAAGAAAGUAACUUCGGAGAGAAAACGGGUAAACAUCGAUUCUGAGAAUUGAGCUCUAGCAAAAAAUUUUGGUAGUAGUCUGUCAGACAGCCACGAGACCACCUCAAGCCCAGCGAACCAAGCUGAGAACGAUCAUCUACAACACCAUGACCCAAAGGUAAUGGAGGCCAGUUAAUCACGCUCUAGUCUCAUGGCUUCAAUUCAUCCACCAGACUUAGUUUCCUGUCUCCUUAGAAGUCAAGGAUACAGUGGUACGAGCCUAUAGAACAGAUCCUGUUCAAGUAAGGUCGUGCCCAUCUGAGUUGCUGCAACAACAUAUAAACACUUGGCUGCCUCGCUAGCUUAUCGAUGUGGGACACGAGGUGGG
rnacentral:lncRNA from 1 species